rnacentral:rRNA from 1 species
CAAUAGCGUAUAUUAAAGUUGUUGCGGUUAAAAAGCUCGUAGUUGAACUUCAGCUGACUUGACUCGAGCCACGCGGACAGUUUUCGCUGGCGUGAGAUCGUGUCAGCCUACCUCAGUCGUCGGACAUUCCCGACGAAAAGAGGGAUUCACCUUGAGGAAACUAGAGUGUUUCAAGCAGGUUUUCGCCAUGAAUAUGUUAGCAUGGGAUGAUAAUACAGGACUAAGCUCUGCUUUGUUGGUUUACGGGGCCUAGUAAUGGUUAAUAGGGACAGUCGGGGGCAUUCGUACUUAACUGUCAGAGGUGAAAUUCUUGGAUUUGUUAAAGACGAGCUGACGCGAAAGCAUUUGCCAAGGAUGUUUUCAUUAAU